rnacentral:misc_RNA from 1 species
CAUUUCUCUCAUGAUCAGUAUUUCUCGCCGAUUGAGGAAAUAAAUCGUUUGUUGUUUUACUAUGAUAAUAUUGUAUCUAAACGACUUUACUCAUUUUCGUCUGUGAGGCAUUAGUUUUAAUUUAACAAUAAUAUGUUUUGUUAGUAUCUCUUGUGUUACGAGAAGGAUAAACAUGGAGUUUUUGAAACUUUGGUGGUUGUUCAGUUUUUGUACUAUUCAGGUACAAGGAUCGACGCAUUGGAUGGUCACUGAAGGUGGCCUUAUUCAGCCUCGGCUGGAUUCUCCAUUCAAUUUAGUACAGCCAUAUGACUUACUGGCGUUCCUAAACCAAGACACGCGCUGGGACAAUAUUAUAAACUUACAUCAUUACUUGGCCAAACGACAACAGAUAAUAAGAGGAUUGUGGGCCGACCUUGAGCGUGAUACAGAUAUAAACUCAUUACUGAUUGAAGAUGAGUACUGUGUCAAAGUAGGUCAAUUAAACCUGAUAGACUGGUAUACAUCCUCUUUAGAAGAAGCAAAAACAAAGAUUGGGACAGAAGAGUUUACUCUCCAUAAUUUGAAUUAUGGAGACGCUGAUGUCCCGGACUGUAAGAAGAUUUCUUCGUUGACUUUCAGUAUGUGCGCUUUUGAGCAUUUGGAGAGUAUGCAAAAGAGAGAGAAUCUUAGUGUGAGUCCUGAAACAUCUUUACCUGAACAUAUGUCAUCUAACACAGAGAUUACAGAAAUGAGUGUUGAUCAGUUCGGUCACUGGUUAGCUGGAGUUCUUAAGAAGAAUAGUUCUUCAUGGCUACAUUACAAUAUGGCUUCUCUUUAUUGGAGGGUUAGAGGUAACGCUCCUAAAGCUAUGGAGUGUAGCCGCAGGGCUGUGCAUUAUGCACCUAGAGAAUACAAAGACAUAGCUCUUUUAAGCAUGGGAUUAAUACUCCAUCGUAGUAAAGUGGCAGAUGAUGCUAUUAUUGUUCUCGGGGCAGCCGUAGACCACGAUGAGCAUUGCCCAAUCAAUCAUUUUAUACUAGGCAAUGCUUUCGCAGUCAUGGGAGACUUUAACAGCUCUUUAAAACAUUUUGACACAUGCCUACAGUUGAAUCCAUCAUUUGAUUUGGCAGAAAGACAUAGGAAUGGACUGUUGUGUCAUAGUUUUGUGUUAAAAAGAUUGGAAGUCGUUCAAGAUACUUUAAGUAGACUGCGCGAGGAAUUGUCGCAAUACAUUGAACGAGAAGCUCAUUGGCUAAAAUCCCAAGCUGCUCUUAUAAGGACCAUGGAACUUACAGAAGAGUUUGAUUUCAUGGACGUAGGAAAAAGCUUCGACAAGAUGUCAGAACUAACAGGUUUAAAUAUGAGGGAGUUAAAAAAAGAAGGGGACAAAUACUCGUUAAUACAAUACUUUUUGGACGGACCUACAUACAAUGAUAACUGGUUGAAAGAGAAAGGAGUUCUUGCGAUAGAGUCCGCAUAUAGUUUACGAAAACUGUUGCAACAAAUAGGUCGACAUGUCACCAUGGAAGAGGUUGAACCCCUAUAUGAUAAUUACAAAGAGACUGAUGGCAAAAUAGUAAAAGAAAUCGGACCAAUACCGUCUUUACCCGAUUUGUUUCCAGAUUCUGUUAAUGACUUUUCAAUAAUCAUCAAAGAAAUCAAAGAUAUUCAAGAUUUAGAAAAAGCUGAUAGAGAGAAACAGAAGCAAGUCAAGACUCCAAAACCUGUUGUUAAACAAAAGAAGAUUGAUCCUCCAAUAACUCCUGAAAAGAAACCAGCCUAUGAAAUUGAAGAAAAUAUUCUAGAAUAUGAUACUGGAAUUGUACUAUAUCCAACAACAUUAAAAGUAAGUCGAAAUACAGAAGAAUUCGAUAAGGAACCUGAGUGGCCGACAAAUAAGAAUUGUAAAGACAAUGCACAGUCGUUUCCAGAUAAUUUAGAAGCUGUAUACCAAAUAUUUUUACCAUUUGAGAAUAAAGGACUGAGAUUAAGAACACUGCUGUCAGACAGGAUCGGUGUGCCAGCGACUGUAGAACACGAGUUACCGUGGCAUCCACCCAACUGUCCCAAUGACAAGGAAGCCGCUACCUUCACGCAGAAGAAAGCGCAGAAGCCACAAAUAGUAAGUGACGUCAUAGUAACGGAGCACUUACGUGAAAAACUAUUAGAAUACGUGGGGAAUGGCGACAUUGAGUCGGUGCGUAACAUGCAAGAUGCUGAAAUAGGCCAGCGCAUUUACGCUGCUAUGCAGAUGAAAUUAGCUCCAAAAUGGGUUCUAUACACCCUUUCGUCUCUCUACUGGCGUGUUAGAGGCAACAACGUGAACGCCUUACAUUGUAUAAUGACGGCCAGUAGAACUGUCGAGGCGAGGUUCAAAGAUAUAGUGCUGAUAUCUUUGGCCUCUAUUUAUUUGGAAAUGGGCUAUUUUGAUGAAUCUUUGGCGGCCGCGGAAGAGGCUUUCAAAAUGAGUUUGUAUGAGCCAGCAACAAACUUCAUACUCGCUGAACUGAACAUGAUAAAGAAACAUAGAAACACACACAUGUUUCACCUCAAGCAAGUGAUACGAGUAGAGCCAGGGUUUAUGAAGGGACUGGCCAGGAAUAUGUUAUACGGCUGGGCUUGUCUGUUCAAGCAGGUUAACGUGCUGCAGGAAUUUGAAUUCAGUGAAGCAGAUAUAUGCACACAAGUAGAACCUGGCAUGAGUAUGGUAUGCGAGAAAGAUGGUACCAACUGCCAUCUCACUAACCUACAGUGUUUUAACGCCCAUUCAGAUCGUGAAAGCAGCACUUUAGUGAGAAUGCUUGAACUAAAAGAUGAUAAUAUCCAGGGUUCGCCGGUGGACGAUCUCAAUGACGGUCUGUUUGACCGUUUCGUAGACAAUAUGCCGAAGGAACGGUUCGAUAGGGCGGCACAUCAGAGGAACUUUGACGCCAUGAUGAAAACUGUCGGCAAUGAGUUGAAAGGCUGCGGGAAUAGGGGAUGUUCAAGUAUUCAACCAGCCGACUUGGCGUUGAAAGAAGAGGAUUGCACUUACCAGCAUUUAGAACUGGGUUAUUGGCUGCAUAUCAUCAGUUUUAGGGAGCUGCUUAGUGAAUCUGAUUCUAAGUUACCAUCAGAAAUAACCGCACUACAACCAUCAAGCAAAAAGAUACCAGAAUGUCGCUUGAACGUUGAUCCCUCAAAAGAUUUCUUCCUAGAGCGAUUAAUGAGGGUAGACACGGAAAAUUGGGAACCUGUGCUCAGUUUAAUGCACCAGUUUGCAGAAAUGUUCAAUUUCUAUGAUUAUGUCACCCUGGGAGCGAAGAUAGCUAAAUAUGUGGAAACUACAGUCAAAGAUAAAAGACGCUAAGGAAGUGGCCUACCUCUCAUUCUACACACAACCAAAGAGUAAAAUAGACGCGUUCCUAGUGGGAGUAUCGCACACGUACCUUGCGGAAUACGAACCGGCAGUGUGGAUGUAUCGCUACGCUCUCACCUUCGACGAAAAGUUCCUACCGGCGAAGGCAUGUCUUCAUGCCACCAUGUGUCUCAUGCUCUUCGGCGAUGCGGCCAAGGCGAAACCUAAACAGAAAUA